GGGCGAGUAGCUCAGCACGGAUAAUCAAACCGUUUUCCAUGAAUCUUUGCAGUAUCGGUUAUGGUUUGGUCCGGAUAGAGCACCAGCCUCCUAAGUUGGGGGUCGAGGGUUCAAAUCCCUCCUCGUCCGCCA
rnacentral:tRNA from 2 species